GCUCUAGCAUCAUUAGGUAGAAUCUAUAAUUAUAAAUUCAUUUCUUAACAUGUUUGAUUUAUGAAAACAUAAAUAUGUUCAACAUUAUAGUCAAGUUACGACAAGAAUCUCAUAACUAUUCUUAAAUGAAAGAAUGUCAUAGCCGGUGGAUUAUAUAAAUAGCUAAUUUCUUACAGGAUUUGCUAGGAAAACAAUUUUUACAGUCUAAAUCUAAAUAAAAAUAUAUGCGAAGUAGAAUUUCUACCAGUGGUUCCGUUGAGCCUGUACUUAUUUAUACUUUUCAGUUUUUAUUAGAGUUAAUAGAUUUCAUAGCAUACAUCAGCAGCGCAGAGAAAACAAGUUCAUAAAUCAAUAGAGUUCCAUUGAGUGGCCAAGUACCCUAAAUUGUUUUAAAUUCUUAUGUAUCAGUCACGUACGCAUGUAAAUAUGUGGACAACAAAUACGUAUGUUGUGAGUCCAAAGCACAGCAUGUAUCGCAUAAGUAUUUCAAUGUAUAUACAUGUUUAGUGAUCGAAGUAUGAGAAAUCAUUGAUUGUGAGCUUGUAUGACAGAGGUUUAUAUAAUUGGCUCAUUAAUAACAAUCAUAUAAGUUACAUUACAACGUGAAAACGAUAAUAAGGCUUCCGAAGCCUGGUCAAUAGUCAGUCUGAGUUCUUACACCUCGUAUGUAACAUUGCUUGUCCAGAUUACAAAUUGAAUGUUUCAAUUUGCUUUUUUGCGCCAAGAUAUUUAUGUAACGUGGAUACAGAUAGAAUCAUUACCAGGUAAACAUCUAUCUAAACAUGCCAUGGCAUAGUUUAAAAGUUACUUUAAUUUUUUUUUCUCGCUCUUGCACUUUGUCCACAUAGUUUUUCACUCUCGCUAUGUUCAGGCAUUUCCACAUUCGCAUACAUAUAUGUUUGGUAUGCAUAUGCACGGACAAAUAUGUAAUUGCAGCACUCAGUAUAAGCUUGGAGGUCGAGAGAUUCAGCGGCUCUGGUAACAACAGAUGGAUAUAUCCUCCUCUUACAUUGAAACUUCAUUAAUUUCACAGAAAGUGCGUCAAGCAGCACGUCAAAUUGAAAAAAAAUCCAAAUAAUGAAGAAUAAUUUAUCGAGCUGUAAGAGUUAA